CAAUUUCAAGCUCCAAGACAAUAAUAACUGAAACUAUAACUUCUCAUAUUUCACCCUAGCAGCUGCUGGAUAUACAACAUCUCCAUCAACAGGAACACCAGGAUACACUCCAUCAUGGCCCUGGUACACAACAACUCGAACACCGGGAUACACUCCAUCAUGGCCCUGGUACACAACCACU